rnacentral:rRNA from 1 species
UACGUAGGGCGCAAGCGUUGUCCGGAAUUAUUGGGCGUAAAGAGCUCGUAGGCGGCUUGUCACGUCGAUUGUGAAAGCCCGAGGCUUAACCUCGGGUCUGCAGUCGAUACGGGCUAGCUAGAGUGUGGUAGGGGAGAUCGGAAUUCCUGGUGUAGCGGUGAAAUGCGCAGAUAUCAGGAGGAACACCAAUAGCGAAGGCAGCUCGCUGGGACGGUAUUGACGCUAAGGCGCGAAAGCGUGGGGAGCAAACAGG